UGGGGAAUAUUGGACAAUGGGCGCAAGCCUGAUCCAGCAAUACCGCGUGAGUGAUGAAGGUCUUCGGAUUGUAAAGCUCUUUUAGUGGGGAAGAUAAUGACGGUACCCACAGAAAAAGCACCGGCAAACUUCGUGCCAGCAGCCGCGGUAAUACGAAGGGUGCUAGCGUUGUUCGGAAUUAUUGGGCGUAAAGGGUACGUAGGCGGCUUAGUAAGUCGAUUGUGAAAGCCCCAAGCUCAACUUGGGAACUGCAAACGAAACUGCUUCGCUAGAGUUUGGUGGGGGAUAGUAGAAUUUCUAGUGUAGGGGUGAAAUCCGUAGAUAUUAGAAGGAAUACCAGUGGCGAAGGCGACUAUCUAUACCAACACUGACGCUGAGGUACGAAAGCGUGGGGAGCAAACAGG
rnacentral:rRNA from 1 species